AACGGCCAUACCAUGCUGAAUAUACCGGUUCUCGUUAGAUCACCGAAGUCAAGCAUCAUUGGGCGCGGUCAGUACUUGGGUGGGUGACCAUCUGGGAACACCGCGUGCCGUU